rnacentral:lncRNA from 1 species
UGAACUAUGACUGGGACUGAGAUUAUAGAUAAGACGAUAAUUGAGACUGUAAGUGUAACUAAGACUGUAGCUGGGACUGAAUACUAGUUUCUGAUAACUAAGGUUUAGACUAAUAUUAAGGUACUGAAUUCUAAGUUUGAACACUGAUUACUGAGUAUUGAAUACUGAAAUUGUAACUGAGAUGGAAACUGAAUUUUGAUAGUUACAUGACGGGGGCUGACAUAAGUCAAAUAUCUAAAUGCACACUCACACUCUGUACUUUCCCAACUUCUAAAUACAACCUCUUGCUAGCCAUUUACUUGCACACUAAUAUG